UGGGGGAUAUUGCACAAUGGGCGAAAGCCUGAUGCAGCGACGCCGCGUGGGGGAUGAAGGCCUUCGGGUUGUAAACUUCUUUUGCUCUGAACAAGGCAUGCCUUUGGGGUGUGUUGAGUGUAGGGGUUGAUUAGCGCCGGCUAACUACGUGUCAGCAGCCGCGGUAAUACGUAGGGCGCGAGCGUUGUCCGGAAUUAUUGGGCGUAAAGGGCUUGUAGGUGGCUGGUUGCGUCUGUCGUGAAAGCUCAUGGCUUAACUGUGGGUUUGCGGUGGGUACGGGCUGGCUUGAGUGCAGUAGGGGAGGCUGGAAUUCCUGGUGUAGCGGUGGAAUGCGCAGAUAUCAGGAGGAAUACCGGUGGCGAAGGCGGGUCUCUGGGCUGUUACUGACGCUGAGGAGCGAAAGCGUGGGGAGCGAACAGG
rnacentral:rRNA from 1 species